GGCUGAGCCUCACACACAUAAUCAGCGCAGCUUCUCAAUGGGGGGACGGAGCCAAGAUGAGACAGAACUGUCGUUCCGCUGGAGCUGAUCUCAGUCCGUGUGUGAGAAGUGAGGAGGCAAAUUAACGUUCUGUCGUCACGAGAGGGAUUUUACAUUCACAGUACUGAUCUAAAGGUGAUAUGAGCAGCCUUCCAUCUUGUAAACACUGACUAGUUUGUAACAGCGUGUCAUUCCUGUGAGCUGAGGUGGUUUCUGGUGACCGCACUCUCAGGAUUUCCGACGGACAGAGAGAGUCGAGGGGGGCAAGCGGACGAGGCAGAAACAACAGAGCUUCUCCCCCUCUUAUCCUGCAGCGUUGUUCUUCUUUACACCUGGAACUUUGUUGGGAAUCCCUGGCCUCAGGCUAUGGAUGGAUUUAAGACAGCGUUGUGAGUCUGUUGAACAGACGGUGAUACUGACAACAGGGCAUCCUUUCUGUUGACCAGACAGACCACUCAGCCACCCUCCCAGUCUGCCCUGCCAUGUCCUUGUUCCUGGGCCUGUGGAUUAGCCUGGGCUUCCUGCUGCUGUGCCAGGCCACGCUGUACGAGACCCUCCAGCAGCACCACGUGCCCCGGCCCGGACGCAACGCCAUCCAGAUCCUGGAAGGAGGGACGUGUGAGGUGAUCGCAGCCCACCGGUGCUGUAAUAAGAACCGUAUCGAGGAGCGCUCCCAGACCGUCAAGUGCUCCUGUCUACCGGGGAAAGUGGCCGGGACGACACGCAACAAACCCUCUUGUGUGGACGCGUCCAUUGUGAUUGGGAAGUGGUGGUGUGAGAUGGAGCCCUGUCUGGAGGGAGAGGAGUGUAAGACUCUGCCUGAUAACUCUGGAUGGAUGUGCUCCUCUGGGAACAAGAUCAAGACCACAAGGAACACUGCGCCAUACUCACCUUUUUAGCUCUGGAAGCAAAAUGCAGAGGAUGCUUCAACAGAAACUGAGCUGCAUUCUUGCUUCUGUAAAGAUUCAUCCUAGGACCUAACAAAGAGUUCCCUCGCAGGCUCCCAGCCAGGAUCCCCUCCCUCCAAAUGGACUAAAACCAUUACAUCAACGACGACUGACUGGAUUACCUGUGACCGCAAAAAGGAUAUCCUCUGAAAUAAAACAGCUUUGCUAGCGUGGUGCCAAGGGUUUUAGACCAGACUAAUCCCCUUUUUGAUCAAUGAGCCUCACGUCGGUGUUACUCUACGAGAACAACCAUGGCCAAUUUCCCAAAUACUCUUUUUUUCUCCCCUUCAAAACGAAAACAGCUUAGCCGGGGUUAUUUAGAUGUUGUAAAAACGUUAUUUGAAAACACUAACGCCUCCCCAAAGGUAAACUGGAUGAUCCUCACUGAGACUCAGUGCUACUGAGCAGGGGAUCCUACAGGAUCAGUGGCACAUGGGAGGGACAUUAUGUGGGGAUUGCUUUUACCUAUUUCAUCAUCCUUGUCAACGGCAUCCAUCUUAGAAGCGACAUCUCAGCAUGCCAGCUUUCCUGUUACUGUGUGGAGCCUGGGCAGUGACCCUGACUGCUGUUCACUCUGCCUACGCAACACAAUGCCGCAGGAACAACAACGAGCGCUGAGUAAACAGACACUGAGAGGUCACAGGGGUCAACCCGGGGGCCCACAGUCACUGUCCAUGAUUGACAUGUCAGUCAGAAGUCUUCUUUGUUGGCAUGCUCUAUCUAAUUCAUUGGAGCUUUUUCUUUGUACGUAAGAUGCUUUGUGUAUAUAUACAUAUAUAAAUACAUUACAUAUAAAAAGAGUAUGUGGGCUCCCUUAUACAGUGAAACAAAAUAUUCUGCACGGAGAUCCUGUUGUUGGAUUCUUCAUUUCUGUCCCUGAUUAUGAAGUACAGUGAAUUCCUAGUCAAAGGUAGUGGUUGAAUCUCCUCUCUGUGUAUAGGACUGUUUACAGUGUUUGCUUGUAUUGAGAAUCUCUGGAAUAGCCUUACCGGAUCAUCAUGAGAAAGUAUUGGUCUUAUUCACCAUUCAGUGAUGUACUUGGAAGAUAGGAAUCUCUUUAGCUUCUGUAAAGAUGAUAAAAACACUGUACAGAACUGUCUAACAAAACAAACUAUAAUCAACAGCGACCCACGUCCUCUUUUCUGUGCUAAAUUAGAGAUAACAGUGCAACUGGGCCCAGUAUCUGAGAGUUAACGCCUGUUCUUAUUUCAUUCCUGUGUCUGCUAUGGAGAAUGAGUGUGGACAUGGCUGUCAAUCAAUCAAAUGUAUUUAUGAAGCCCUUUUUACAUCAGCCAAUGUCACAAGUUCUAUACAGAAACCCAGCCUAAAACCCCAAACAGCAAGCAAUGCAGAUGUAUAAGGUGAGCCUAGUGGUUAGAGCAUUUGGCCAGUAACCGAAAUGUUGCUAUAUAAAAUCCCCAAGCUGACAAGGUAAAAAUCUGUUGUUCUGCCCCUGAACAAGGCAGUUAACCCACUGUUCUUAACUGACUUGCCUAGUUAAAUAAAGUUUUAAAAAAUAAUAAUAAUCAUGGUGGCUAGGAAGAAACCUAGAGAGGAACUAGGCUCUGAGGGGUGGCCAGUCCUCUUCUGGCUGUGCCAGGUAGAGAUUAUAACAGCACAUGGCCAAGAUGUUCAAACGUUCAUAGAUGACCAGCAGGGUUGUUGUGUGUAGAUUCCACACUGACACAGUAGGCAGGUUUCCAUUGACCCAGGUUUAUCUGACAAAAGCAAUGUCUCACAAAAAAGCAUUGCAACAUUUGUAAUGGCAGACGUAGGAGACAUAUUCUAAAGAUCAAAUACAUUUUUAUCAGUUCGACAGUGUCCUUACUGCAACAGAUGAUGAUGGAAACUGUGUUUUUUGAAUAAAAUAUGAUUGCCAAAUAAUUUUGAAGGUACGCACGUGAUGUUGUCAUUUAACUACAAAACUUCACUCCACAUUUAAUUGUAAAUGCCUACUGCUUGCAAAAUCCAUUUAUUCAACUAGAAAAAUAAUGUUUCUCUGCAAGACAAAGAUUGUCUUGACUUCCAAUAACGCCUGAAUUGCUUUACAUUGCAAUUUGAAGUUUCACCAUCAAAUUGUUUCAGUUCUCUACUAGGUCUACAUGACUACAAUGGCAGGGACUGUGGCGAUAAGUAGGCAUGAGAAUUAUUAGAAUAUGGCAAAUAUUAGUCAUUUCUUGCAUUCUAUUCAUGCUCUCUUUUUACAGGCUACCUCCCGUAACGUCAUUAUGUCCAGCUGUUUUUUCCACAUGGCAGUACACUGGAAACGCACUGUGGCAUGCAAUUGUCGCAUCUAUAGUACUUUCUAUGCGAACAUUCUAAAUGUUGACAAAAAUGUACUGGACAAGUUAAGGGAAACAUAGCUACUGAAAGCCUUUCCAAUUGAGAUAUUGAAAAAGACAUUG